UCAGGAGCGUUUUUGUAAGGGUUACGGUAGCGGUGCAUUUUCAGCUACUGACACCUUAACAUUCGGAAAGCCGAUAACCCUCAAGGUCGUACCAAAAAAUCAAUUGGCAACUCCUCCAUUACUGUCCAUCUUGUCCCCUUUGGACAAAAUGGACCGGAUAUUUGCCUGGCCGCCGGGUUCUUUCCUGCGGAUAAGACUAUGAUUUUGACUGUGGAAGGUAAAAGCCCGGUGAAACUUAACACCAGCGAAGCACCCUUGUUUCAUUCAACCUAUUAUUAUGCUGGAUUCAGUAAAGAUGAUGAAUCGAUGAAAUAUGAUGAAGUGCAAAAAUGUGAAAUGGAUGGACGAACAGUAGACAAAAGUGUUGACGUUCCUGAAACAACAGAAAUACCCCCAAUACCGACUCAGUUUUGUCCAACUAGUCUUGGUGCCUCAGAGUUCAUAGACACUGGUGUUCCAAAAAUGAACUCCAUGAAUCUUCUUGUGUCAGGUCUGAGAAUUCUGCUUGCUAAAUGUGUUGCAGUUAAUGCAUUGAUGACUGUCAAGGCGUUC